UGCCACACUCCACAAUAUCUCUUCCUGGU
rnacentral:piRNA from 1 species